UACGGAGGGGGCUAGCGUUGUUCGGAAUUACUGGGCGUAAAGCGCACGUAGGCGGCUUGGUAAGUUAGAGGUGAAAGCCUGGAGCUCAACUCCAGAAUUGCCUUUAAGACUGCCGAGCUAGCAGGUGAGAGAGGUGAAUGGAAUUCCGAGUGUAGAGGUGAAAUUCGUAGAUAUUCGGAAGAACACCAGUGGCGAAGGCGGCUCACUGGCUCAUACUGGACGCUGAGGUGCGAAAGCGUGGGGAGCAAACAGG
rnacentral:rRNA from 1 species